AUCACUAGAGUUACCUGCAUCAAGGGAUGUUUCCUGUCAGACCGACCCACCACAAAAACAUAUACCUUAAGUACAGCAGAGGACUCCUCAUCAGAAGUACAGCUGUCAAGGCCACUGUGUCCUGCAAAGACUUUGGUGUUGGCACAUCCACUGUUCUCUAUGCAGCCCCUCAGGCCUUUCUAACAUCCACACCAAUAAAGAGACCUCAUCUGGUCCUUGAGAAGGAGGAGGAGGGCAGCUACAUGCUACCUAUGACCCUGCAGACUCUGUCACAGUGCUCAGUGGCAAUCUUCAGUGAUGUGGGGAAGCUGAGCCAUUGCUGCUGAGGCCUUCCACUGUGUAAUCCUAUGGUUCGACAUAAAGAGCAUGAUCAUCGGAGUGACCUGAUGAAGCUCGUGUUUGAUGACGUGUUCCCAGACCCAUCAGACUCUCCUCACAGUAUUGAGAAACCACCCGAGGAGGACGUUAUUGCUGGGCAGUUGUCGUGCGAAGUCUUGGUAUCCACAGCAGGAUGUGUCAGGAUGACCACUGUGACCUGAGAGUGCCAUUACCAGCUGACACAACUUCAGUGUAUAACAAACUCUUUAUCCCAAUGGAGGACAUGAUCUGGACCUUUUACAUAAAGGUUCAGGCUUUGCUAGUUUGUGCAUUAUACAUAUAUACACAAUGUAUAUUUCUAUUUAAUUUGUUGUGAACAAAUGCUUCAUUUUUAAGGAGA